UGGGGAAUAUUGCACAAUGGGCGAAAGCCUGAUGCAGCGACGCCGCGUGCGGGAUGAAGGCCUUCGGGUUGUAAACCGCUUUUAAUUGGGAGCAAGCGAGAGUGAGUGUACCUUUUGAAUAAGCACCGGCUAACUACGUGCCAGCAGCCGCGGUAAUACGUAGGGUGCAAGCGUUAUCCGGAAUUAUUGGGCGUAAAGAGCUCGUAGGCGGUUUGUCACGCCUGGUGUGAAAGUCCAUCGCUUAACGGUGGAUCUGCGCCGGGUACGGGCAGGCUAGAGUGCAGUAGGGGAGAUUGGAAUUCCCGGUGUAACGGUGGAAUGUGUAGAUAUCGGGAAGAACACCAAUGGCGAAGGCAGAUCUCUGGGCUGUUACUGACGCUGAGGAGCGAAAGCAUGGGGAGCGAACAGGAUUAGAUACCCUGGUAGUCCAUGCCGUAAAACGGUGGAUGCUGGAUGUGGGACCCUUCCACGGGUUCCGUGUCGGAGCUAACGCGUUAAGCAUCCCGCCUGGGGAGUACGGCCGCAAGGCUAA
rnacentral:rRNA from 1 species